UCAGCUUCGGCAUUCCAGCCUGGAACAAUCCUCCCAGACCUGGAGGUCCGCCCCCUCCAAAACUUCCACCGCCUCCGCCACCACCUCCUCCGCCAAAUCCGCCGCCUCCACCAAAGCCACCACCACCGCCUCCAGCACCAGCUCCUUUAGGUUCUGUAGAAGAAGAGACACCCGACAGACUAUGCCCCCUGGUCUGGCCCAGGAAUGGACUGGAGAAGCUAAAAAAGACACUGCUGGACUUGUCACAGCCGCCGGGAAACAAGAAUUAAGACAGUUCGGAAGAGUCCCAUUCAAAGUGGGCGGUCUAGAAAAUGAAAAUUUUAAAUUCCACAGCAGCAACAGCAGCUCUCAUGUAUGGAGAAUCUGCUGGAUCCAGGGCUCUAUCCUUGCGUGGUCUCUGACUCCUAAGACAGCGGAAGCCAGCAUCGCUGUGCUCAUUUGAUAGACUCAGAGAAAU
rnacentral:lncRNA from 10 species